GGAAAGGUGGCAGAGUGGUUGAAUGCUUCGGUUUUGAAAACCGAUGUACCUAUUUGGGUACCGGGGGUUCGAAUCCCCCCCUUUCCG
rnacentral:tRNA from 1 species